UACGUAGGGUGCAAGCGUUAAUCGGAAUUACUGGGCGUAAAGCGUGCGCAGGCGGUUAUGUAAGACAGAUGUGAAAUGCCCGGGCUUAACCUGGGAACUGCAUUUGUGACUGCAUGGCUAGAGUUUGGCAGAGGGGGGUAGAAUUCCACGUGUAGCAGUGAAAUGCGUAGAUAUCUGGAGGAACACCGGUGGCGAAGGCGGCAUCCUGGACCAACACUGACACUGAGGAGCGAAAGCCAGGGGAGCAAACGGG
rnacentral:rRNA from 1 species